rnacentral:rRNA from 1 species
AUUGAACGCUGGCGGCAUGCUUUACACAUGCAAGUCAGAACGGCAGCACGGGGGCAAGCCCUGGUGGCGAGUGGCGAACGGGUGAGUAAUGCAUCGGAACGUGUCCUUAAGUGGGGGAUAACGCAUCGAAAGAUGCGCUAAUACCGCAUAAUCUCUGAGGAGAAAAGCAGGGGAUCGACAAGACCUUGCGCUUUUGGAGCGGCCGAUGUCUGAUUAGCUAGUUGGUGGGGUAAUGGCUUACNCAAGGCUUCGAUCAGUAGCUGGUCUGAGAGGACGACCAGCCACACUGGGACUGAGACACGGCCCAG